rnacentral:lncRNA from 1 species
CAUCACUAUUAUUAUUCACCCAACGUCACACAACAGGCAAGGGGCAGAGCCCCGAUUGGAACCCAGAUCCUGUGACUUCCAAGCAAGUGCUCUUUCCACUAAGCCACGCGAGUUCUCAGUCCCGCCCAGAAGGCUCCCGUCCCCUCCCUCCAGGAGAGAGGACUUCGAUCCUCACCCGGCCAGGUGCGGGGAAUACCUGGAUCCAGUCAUCUCCGGGCAGGAUCCCCUCCGGCUGCUUCUCCAGUUCCCCACCAAGGAGCAGGACGCCCAGCUCAGGUCAGCGCCCGGGAGGUGGCGAGCGAACCGAUGUCACUCGGAAUUCACUAGCCGUUCCCCCGGUCCAGCCCCGGCCGUGUCCGCAGCCGGUUCCUCCUCACCCACAGGCCCCGCUCCUGUUCUCGGAGUCACAAGCGAGGAGGAUCCGACGAGCCCUGCUCCUUGUCCUGGACGGAGGAUGCGGGACCAAAGGAUACUGAGCCACUGGUCGGUCCAUCUCAUCUGCCUCUGGACCGGCUUCCAUCAGAGCCUGCCCACCUGGAUAUGAAAUCUGUGGCUACAACUGCUGUAAAGAAAAAGAAUAUAACCUCAACAUGACAGUGUGAGCCGGGCACGUGGGUCUUGGGGGUGUGGGAAGGGGCCAGGUUGGGUGGGAGAGGCAGAGAAGGGUCUGUGGGUCAACCAGUGGGCUUAGCAACCCCUGAGAGCAGGGGAGGAAGAGAAGGAGGAGGAGGUGGAGGAGGAAGAAGAGGAGGUGGAGAAGGAGGAAGAGGAGGUGGGGG